rnacentral:piRNA from 1 species
UUUGAUGUUGAGAUAGUAAUU